GGAGGGAGAAGGACGCAGGAUCAGUGAAGACAGAGACAGCAAGAGGGAAAGAUGGAGAAGUAGGACAAGUGCGGUCAGACGUCGACAGCGAUACAACCAGAACUCGACCCAGACCUGAGGGGAGGAUGAGAGGAGAGGGUGUCUGCUGCACACAUAUGAGCUGACCUGAGGCGAGGCGGAGGUCAAACGCUGAACUUCAUCAGAUGGAGGAAGUGAUAUUUGGAUGGAAUGGCACCAUUCCCUCACUGACUUUAGUAAAUUGAAGCUUAAUUGACCUCAGCGUCCUUAAGUCCCCAGUCAGCGAAGCAGGCCAUCCGUCUGACUAGCCAAGCGUGCGUGAGUAUGAGAACUUCCCGAAAUCCAAGAGAAGUACGGGGGUCCGGAGCUGAUUGUCCAAACGCAAUUCUUGCGUCUGCCUUUGUGAAACCAGGAGUUGUGCAUGGACAUCACGCCCCUGACCUCUGAAAAUCAGCGAGGGCACAGACCACCGUGGUCGGGAUACAACUCAGUGGCUUUGUGGGUGCAUAAGUGAGAGACACUGAAAGACAAACAGAAAGAGGGAGAAAGCGAGGGAGAUAUUGAAUAAGGGAGAGUGUGUGUUUAUGUAAAUGUAAAGCCUGUGAGAGACAUUUCUGGAGGUCAGCUCUAGUUUUGUUUCAAGUUGGGCUUGCAAAAUCUUUUGGCUCAAAGCUUUAACUUGUAACAGAACAACAAGAUGUAACCAGUCAUUUCUGCCCUUCAGGUGAAACAUGAGAAAACAUUUAUUUAACAGAGCCUUCCUGAUAAAGACAGGCUGGUGAACAAUAAUUAUCAUCAUCACUAGUUUGAAAAGUUAUUAGAGCACAGA